rnacentral:rRNA from 1 species
AUGCCUAGUCGUAAAACCAAUUUACACCACAUACGCCAGGGUAUUACGAGCUCAGCUUAAAACCCAAAGGACUUGACGGUGUCCUACCCCCACUAGAGGAGCCUGUCCUAGAAUCGAUAAUCCCCGUUCAACCUUACCACUUCUUGCUUGAUUCAGUUAGUAUACUUCCGUCGUAAGCUUACCGUAUGAGUGCCCGUAGUAGGCUCAAUGAUAAUUCAUCAGCACGUCAGGUCAAGGUGCAGCAUAAGAAGUGGGCUGAGAUGGGCUACAAUUUCUAGAUUAGAACACACGGAACAUUGAAUGAAAACACAAUAAUGAAGGUGGAUCUAGCAGUAAAAAGAAAAUAAAGUGUUCUUUUUAAUUAACGGCACUGGGACGCGUACAAACCGCCCGUCACCCUCCUCGAUAAGCUAUUUCUAGUAAAUAACAUAACUUCUAUUAUCAGAGGAGGCAAGUCGUAACAGGGUAAGUGUACCGGAAGGUGCGCUUGGAUAG